UUUUCCUUUGAUUUUAUUAUCGCAAACACGAGCGUGACAAUUAUCGCGAGAAAAGUCGCCUCGCUCCUCACUCCAACCUCUUUUUUCUCUGCCCUAAAGUUUAAACACUUUGCUUCUGGGUGACCACUCCCAUCUCGCCGACUGCGUCGCGCUACCCAAGCUAAGAUACAAACAUCUGUUGUUAUUUGCAUGCUGUGAAUUUCUUUUCAAAUGCUUCCUAUUUGCUUAAAACGAUGUUGUUUUUGUUUUUUGUUUUUUUAACUUUAUCGUUAAAUAGUUGCUACAAAGACUCCACUGGCGGUAAGGCGGCAUUUGGUGACUUUUGGAAAGCAUGUCAAUUUCGUGCAUGCACUGAGUAACACAUCGACCGAAUCCCAGUUCAAGCGGAGUCGUUCUUCCUCUCCGGUAGGUAGAAGUGGGGGUCCGGUGGGUUUCAGCGUCCUUCCAGCCUUUGUUGUUGUUUAGUUGUGUGUAGAGGGCGGGACUCGAGCCGAAACGAACAAGGCGCGGCCAACGAGCCCCUUUACACGUGCAGACAAAGGGACCCAUCAACGCCACCCAAAAUGCGCACCAACAAACUUUUUCCUCGGACACCGCUGCGCGCCACCGACCAGCCAAAGACUCAGGUACGUGGGCGCGAGAAGAAAAGCUCACUGUAAUUGGGACGCGUGCGCUGAGCUUUGGGAGUUUUGGAUAAGGAACAUUUCUUUGCGAUGCAACGUUGUCAGGAAUACCCGCAAAUAUCACUGGUCGACGUUGGAAUACUGCUUCACUUUGGGAUUACUUUAACACUCCUGAGGAAAAUCCGUGCUUCUAAAGUUUCAUGCAAUGUAAAGACCAUUCCCUCCUCCACCCCAAAACCACCGCUGAUGACCGGCGAGCUGAAAUGAGAGGUCAAAGGUUGCCAUUGAUUGGCUGCCCAGCAGGAAGCCACUUUGACAUUUCAAGGCUUGUAUGGUCUGCUUGUCUCCUGCUGUCCUGCACCCCUUCCUGCCUGCGUGAAGGCUAAUGUUGGCCUGGAGCACUCCUGCACGCGUCACCCCUAAUGACGAUCACCCCAGACAGUUCCCGCCCAAAACGAAGGAUGAAACAAUUUCAAAAUAUACCAGACUUGAGGUGAGAGGCUGGAACCCACGUCUGACUGCAGGACUUCAGAACAAAACCGGUCAUGGCUUCAGCGUUAUGCCUGAGAAGCUGGCAGAGAUGGGCCCAUGAACUCAUCCCAGCUGAACUUCCGCCGGGAGGAGGGGAGGAGUCCAGAGAGGAGGGGAGGAGUCCAGACAGGAGGAGCAACAGGAGUUGCCCCCUGGGCCACACCCCUCGGCUGACCCGUCAGCUCCGUUACAGCUCCUGUUGCUCCAGGGCGCUAAGCCGCGAUGACCUUUGACCCAGACUUUAUUUCCCGAGGUGACCCCUGGGCACCCCUCUGCGCUGCUGCCACACGCCGUGGGCUUGGGGCAGAGAGAGUGUGGGGCAGGUGGAGGCUUUGAUUUUGGUUUUUGCUUCGAUCCUUCAAAAAAAGAAGGAGAAAAAAAGCUCGCAAAGAAUGGUUGAAUCGCAGUGUCUGGGAGACACAACCUCGAGGAAUUACAGAGCACUCAAGAGCAAAGCUGGAAAUAGCAUGUAGCUAACACAACCUUAAUAUGUCAGAAACAUUCACUGAAGUGUGUUGUUAAAUGUUCAUUUUAAUGCUAUAUUAAUACUCUUUUUUAGUGUGUGUGUGUGUGUGUGUGUGUGUGUGUGUGUGUGUGUGUGUGUGUGUGUAUGUUUUCUGUUAGCACAUCUGCAAACAGUGAAUUAAAUGUGGACUCGAAAGUUUCACAUCUGGUUCAAAUUAUCAGACUGCUAUCGAUGUGCUCGAAUUACUGUGCAAGUUUUUUUGUUUUAAAUUUAAUCCUAAAAAUCCUCGAUGCCCUCCAAAGAUCAUUUGCAAAAAAAAAGAAAAAAAAAAAAGAAAUAAAAAAUAAAACAAUUCCACUUUCUCUGGAGCCCCAUUGGGCUACGUUCUGUUUUUUCCCCCAAUCAAUCGUUCUUUCUCUCCAACUGUCUCUCUCUCUUUUUUAAAAUCAAUUUCGGCUUGGGGCAGAUCUGCAUUCUCCACAGCCUCUGCUUUGAUAUG